GAUAGAACGCGUGGCGGCGUCGCUAACACAUGCAAGUCGAACGCAUUUUCUUUCACCGCAGCUUGCUACACCGGAAGAAAAUGAGUGGCGAACGGGUGAGUAACACGUGGGUAACCUGCCCAUCAGCGGGGGAUAACACUUGGAAACAGGUGCUAAUACCGCAUAAUUUCAUUUACCGCAUGGUAGAUGGAUGAAAGGCGCUUUUGCGUCACUGAUGGAUGGACCCGCGGUGCAUUAGCUAGUUGGUGGGGUAACGGCCUACCAAGGCUGCGAUGCAUAGCCGACCUGAGAGGGUGAUCGGCCACACUGGGACUGAGACACGGCCCAG
rnacentral:rRNA from 1 species